UACGAAGGGUGCAAGCGUUAGUCGGAAUUACUGGGCGUAAAGCGUGCGCAGGCGGUUUUGUAAGUCUGUCGUGAAAUCCCCGGGCUCAACCUGGGAAUGGCGAUGGAGACUGCAAGGCUAGAAUCUGGCAGAGGGGGGUAGAAUUCCACGUGUAGCAGUGAAAUGCGUAGAGAUGUGGAGGAACACCGAUGGCGAAGGCAGCCCCCUGGGUCAAGAUUGACGCUCAUGCACGAAAGCGUGGGGAGCAAACAGG
rnacentral:rRNA from 1 species